rnacentral:rRNA from 1 species
AGUGAACGCUGGCGGCGUGCCUAACACAUGCAAGUCGAACGAUGAUGGAGAGCUUGCUCUCCUGAUUAGUGGCGCACGGGUGAGUAUACCAUAGAUAAUGUACCUCAUAGUUCGGGAUAGCCACUGGAAACGGUGAUUAAUACCGGAUACUCUUUCUUGUCUCAAGGCAAGUCGGGAAAGUUUUUUCGCUAAGAGAUCAGUCUAUGUCCUAUCAGCUAGUUGGUGAGGUAAUGGCUCACCAAGGCAAUGACGGGUAUCUGGUUUGAGAGGAUGAUCAGACACACUGGAACUGAGACACGGUCCAGACUCCUACGGGAGGCAGCAGUGAGGAAUAUUGCACAAUGAAGGAAACUCUGAUGCAGCAACGCCGCGUGGAGGAUGACGCAUUUCGGUGUGUAAACUCCUUUUAAGAGGGAAGAUAAUGACGGUACCUCUUGAAUAAGCACCGGCUAACUCCGUGCCAGCAGCCGCCGUAA